rnacentral:rRNA from 1 species
CAGCAGCCACGGUAAUACGAAGGGUGCAAGCGUUACUCGGAAUUACUGGGCGUAAAGCGUGCGUAGGUGGUGGUUUAAGUCCGUUGUGAAAGCCCUGGGCUCAACCUGGGAAUUGCAGUGGAUACUGGAUCACUAGAGUGUGGUAGAGGAUAGUGGAAUUUCCGGUGUAGCAGUGAAAUGCGUAGAGAUCGGAAGGAACAUCUGUGGCGAAGGCGACUAUCUGGGCCAACACUGACGCUGAGGCACGAAAGCGUGGGGAGCAAACAGGAUUAGAUACCCCAGUAGUCCCUGUCUCUUAUAC